rnacentral:rRNA from 1 species
AUUGAACGCUGGCGGCAUGCCUUACACAUGCAAGUCGAACGGCAGCAUGGAGAGCUUGCUCUCUGAUGGCGAGUGGCGAACGGGUGAGUAAUGCAUCGGAACGUACCGUGUAAUGGGGGAUAACGUAGCGAAAGUUACGCUAAUACCGCAUACGACCUGAGGGUGAAAGCAGGGGAUCGCAAGACCUUGCGUUAUACGAGCGGCCGAUGUCAGAUUAGCUAGUUGGUGAGGUAAAGGCUCACCAAGGCGACGAUCUGUAGCGGGUCUGAGGGGAUGAUCCGCCACACUGGGACUGAGACACGGCCCAGACUCCUACGGGAGGCAGCAGUGGGGAAUUUUGGACAAUGGGGGCAACCCUGAUCCAGCCGUGCCGCGUGAGUGAAGAAGGCCUUCGGGUUGUAAAGCUCUUUCGGCCGGGAAGAAAUCGCACAGGCUAAUACUCUGUGUGGAUGACGGUACCGGCAUAAGAAGCACCGGCUAACUACGUGCCAGCCGCCGCGGUAA